GACGAACGCUGGCGGCGUGCCUAACACAUGCAAGUCGAACGAAGUGGCGAAAGGGGGAGUAAGACGUGAGUAAACUGCCCUCCUUUGUGGGAUAAGCCUUGGAAACGGGGUCUAAUACCGACUACCGGGGGGGGGGCUAGCGGGCUAUGGGGUGGUGGGGGGGGUGAUGGCCUACCAAGGGGGUGACGGGUCGAGGGCCGGAGAGGGUGACCGGGCACAUGGGAACUGGGAUAGGGUCCAGACGGCUACGGGAGGCAGCAGUGGGGUAUAUGGCACAAUGGGCGAAAGCCUGAUGCACCGGUGCCGCGUGGGGGAUGAAGGCUUUCGGGUUGUUAACCUCUGUCGCUAUCGAACGGGUAGGUGGAGAAGAAGCGCCGGCUAACUACGUGCCAGCAGCCGCGGUAAUAC
rnacentral:rRNA from 1 species